ACUCCUACGGGAGGCAGCAGUGGGGAAUAUUGCACAAUGGGGGAAACCCUGAUGCAGCCAUGCCGCGUGUGUGAAGAAGGCCUUCGGGUUGUAAAGCACUUUCAGUAGGGAGGAAGGUAUGGUAGUUAACACCUGCAAUUAUUGAUCGUAUCCUACAGAAGAAGCACCGGCUAACUCCGUGCCAGCAGCCGCGGUAAUACGGAGGGUGCGAGCGUUAAUCGGAAUUACUGGGCGUAAAGCGCAUGCAGGCGGCCUGUUAAGUCAGAUGUGAAAGCCCGGGGCUUAACCUCGGAAUUGCAUUUUGAAAACNGGCAAGGCUAGAGUCUUGUAGAGGGGGGUGNAAUUUCAGGUGUAGCGGUGAAAAUGCGUAGAGAUCUGAAGGAAU
rnacentral:rRNA from 1 species